rnacentral:rRNA from 1 species
UACAGAGGGGGCAAGCGUUAUUCGGAAUUACUGGGCGUAAAGCGCGCGUAGGCGGCUAAGUCAGUCGGAUGUGAAAUCCCUGGGCUCAACCUGGGAACUGCAUACGAUACUGCUUGGCUAGAGUGUGGGAGAGGGUGGUGGAAUUCCCGGUGUAGCGGUGAAAUGCGUAGAUAUCGGGAGGAACAUCAGUGGCGAAGGCGACCGCCUGGCCCAACACUGACGCUGAGGUGCGAAAGCGUGGGUAGCAAACAGG